rnacentral:rRNA from 1 species
GGUGGCAAGCGUUAUCCGGAAUGAUUGGGCGUAAAGGGUGCGCAGGCGGAACCAUAAGUCUGAAGUAAAAGCCAUCGGCUCAACCGAUGUAAGCUUUGGAAACUGUGGAUCUGGAGUGCAGGAGAGGACAGUGGAAUUCCAUGUGUAGCGGUAAAAUGCGUAGAUAUAUGGAGGAACACCAGUGGCGAAGGCGGCUGUCUGGCCUGUAACUGACGCUGAGGUUCGAAAGCGUGGGUAGCAAAC